rnacentral:rRNA from 1 species
UACGGAGGGAGCUAGCGUUGUUCGGAAUUACUGGGCGUAAAGCGUACGUAGGCGGCUUGGUAAGUCAGAGGUGAAAGCCCACGACUCAAUCGUGGAACUGCCUUUGAGACUGCUUCGCUUGAAGAUGGGAGAGGUUAGUGGAAUUCCGAGUGUAGAGGUGAAAUUCGUAGAUAUUCGGAAGAACACCAGUGGCGAAGGCGGCUAACUGGACCAUUCUUGACGCUGAGGUACGAAAGCGUGGGGAGCAAACAGG